GCGUUGUCCGGAAUUAUUGGGCGUAAAGAGCUCGUAGGCGGACUGUUGCGUCUGCUGUGAAAAGCUGGGGCUUAACCCCGGCCUUGCAGUGGAUACGGGCAGACUAGAGGUAGGUAGGGGAGAAUGGAAUUCCCGGUGUAGCGGUGAAAUGCGCAGAUAUCGGGAGGAACACCGGUGGCGAAGGCGGUUCUCUGGGCCUUACCUGACGCUGAGGAGCGAAAGCGUG
rnacentral:rRNA from 1 species